GGCGGGUGUAACUAAGUGGUAAAGUAAUGGUUUGUGGCAUCAUCUAACGCGGGUUCAAUUCCCGUCAUCCGCCU
rnacentral:tRNA from 1 species